UCGAGAAUAUUCGUCAAUGCCCGAAAGGGUGAACGAGCGACGCCGCGUGCAGGAUGAAGGCCCUUGGGUUGUAAACUUGCUUUUCUUUGGGAAAAAUUUGUGAUGGUACCAAAGGAAUAAGAGGCUACUAACUCUGUGCCAGCAGUAGCGGUAAUACAGAGGCCUCAAGCGUUAUCCGGAUUCAUUGGGCGUAAAGAGCAUGUAGGCGGGCAUAUUAGUCAGACGUCAAAUCUUCGAGCUCAACUCGAAAACUGCGUUUGAAACGGUAUGUCUUGAGAAAGUGAGAGACCAGUGGAACAUAUGGUGUAGCAGUGAAAUGCGUUGAUAUCAUAUGGAACACCAAAGGCGAAGGCAUCUGGUUGGCACUUUCUGACGCUGAGAUGCGAAAGCGUGGGUAGCGAAUGGGAUUAGAUACCCCAGUAGUCCACGCUGUAAACGAUGCAUACUAGGUAUUAGGAGAAUCGACCCUCCUAGU
rnacentral:rRNA from 1 species